rnacentral:rRNA from 1 species
GGCCGCGGGAAUUCGAUUCAGGCCUAACACAUGCAAGUCGAACGGCAGCACGGGUGCUUGCACCUGGUGGCGAGUGGCGAACGGGUGAGUAAUAUAUCGGAACGUACCUUAUUGUGGGGGAUAACGCAGCGAAAGCUGUGCUAAUACCGCAUAAUCCCUAAGGGGGAAAGCGGGGGACCGUAAGGCCUCGCGCAAUUAGAGCGGCCGAUACCUGAUUAGCUAGUUGGUGAGGUAAAGGCUCACCAAGGCAACGAUCAGUAGCUGGUCUGAGAGGACGAUCAGCCACACUGGGACUGAGACACGGCCCAGACUCCUACGGGAGGCAGCAGUGGGGAAUUUUGGACAAUGGGGGCGACCCUGAUCCAUAAAGGCCGCGUGAGUGAAGAAGGCCUUCGGGUGUAACAUCAAUGGGUCAGGGAAGAAACAGCAGCUCUAACACAGUUUGCGAAUGAC